UCAGUCGACUCUGCUCUUAGAUGAUCCAAUGAUCAAAGAGCUUCUUCGGAUCGGGUCCCAAUUUGUUGGGUACCGUGAAUAUGCCGCCAGAGCCGAAGAAAAACUUUCAGAGGCCAACGAACGUGUCGACGCACUUGCUCAAAAACUCGAGCAAAGUGAGGCGGCUCGCAAGAAAGCUGAACUUGCUGCUAGCAAAGCCAAGGCCGAGGUUGAUGAAGCCAAGGUGAAAGCUGCUAGUGUCGAGG